CAGCGCCACAAGUGGCAAUCACGUUUAUUGGGCCUAAAGCGUCCGUAGCCGGUUUAGCAAAUCUUUUGUGAAAUCGUCAGGCUUAACUUGACGAAUUGCAGAAGACACUACUAAACUAGGGACUGGGAGGAGUCAGAAGUAUUCUGGGGGGACCGGUAAAAUGGUAUAAUCCCCAGAGGACUACCGAUGGCGAAGGCAUCUGACCAGAACAGAUCCGACGGUGAGGGACGAAAGCCAGGGGAGCAAACCGGAUUAGAUACCCGAGUAGUCC
rnacentral:rRNA from 1 species